UACGUAGGGUGCAAGCGUUGUCUGGAAUUAUUGGGCGUAAAGAGCUCGUAGGCGGUUUGUCGCGUCGAAUGUGAAAACCCGGGGCUCAACCCCGGGCCUGCAUUCGAUACGGGCAGACUAGAGUUCGGUAGGGGAGUCUGGAAUUCCUGGUGUAGCGGUGAAAUGCGCAGAUAUCAGGAGGAACACCGGUGGCGAAGGCGCCGCUCUGGGCCGAAACUGACGCUGAGGAGCGAAAGCAUGGGUAGCAAACAGG
rnacentral:rRNA from 1 species